rnacentral:rRNA from 1 species
GACGAACGCUGGCGGCGUGCUUAACACAUGCAAGUCGAACGGUGAAGCGCCUUCCUUUUUGGUGGGUGUGGAUGAGUGGCGAACGGGUGAGUAACACGUGAGUAACCUGCCCCCUUCUUCUGGAUAACCGCAUGAAAGUGUGGCUAAUACGGGAUAUUCUGGGUCUGUCGCAUGAUGGGUCUGGGAAAGAUUUUGUUUCGGUGGGGGAUGGGCUCGCGGCCUAUCAGCUUGUUGGUGGGGUGAUGGCCUACCAAGGCGGUGACGGGUAGCCGGCCUGAGAGGGUGGACGGUCACACUGGGACUGAGACACGGCCCAGACUCCUACGGGAGGCAGCAGUGGGGAAUAUUGCACAAGGGGCGCAAGCAUGAUGCAGCGACGCCGCGCGAGGGAUGGAGGCCUUCGGGUUGUGAACCUCUUUCGCCAGUGAAGCAGGCCUGCCUCGUUUGUGGGUGGGUUGACGGUAGCUGGAUAAGAAGCGCCGGCUAACUACGUG